UACGGAGGAUGCGAGCGUUAUCCGGAUUUAUUGGGUUUAAAGGGUGCGUAGGCUGUUAUAUAAGUCAGCGGUGAAAUAUUCGGGCUUAACCGGGAUACUGCCGUUGAUACUGUAUAGCUGGAAUAUGGUUGCUGUGGGUGGAAUGUGUGGUGUAGCGGUGAAAUGCAUAGAUAUCACACAGAAUAUCGAUUGCGAAGGCAACUCACAAAGCCAUUAUUGACGCUGAUGCACGAAAGUGUGGGGAUCAAACAGGAUUAGAUACCCGUGUAGUCC
rnacentral:rRNA from 1 species